GUCACGUGAGAGGUGCCGGUGGGCGCCCGGCGGGGAUGUCCCGCAAACAGGCGGCCAAGGCCCGGCCGCCCGCCGGAGCCAGGAAGGGGCGGCGGAGCCGGCAGCCCACCGCAGGAACGGCUCCCGGCCCCGCAUCCGGCGGCGGGGGCCUCGCCGGGCAGCUGCGGGCACUCGGCCUCAAGCUGCGGGAGGUGCCCGGGGAUGGCAAUUGUUUGUUUCGGGCCCUGGGUGACCAGCUUGAGGGGCACUCGAGGAACCACCUCAGACAUCGCCAGGAAACGGUGGAUUACAUGAUAAAGCAGCGAGAGGAUUUUGAGCCUUUUGUGGAGGAUGAUGUGCCCUUUGAGAAACACGUUACCAAUUUGGCAAAGCCUGGUACCUUUGCUGGCAACGAUGCUAUUGUGGCCUUUGCAAGGAACAAUCAAAUGAAUGUGGUUAUUCAUCAGCUUAAUGCUCCGCUAUGGCAGAUUCGGGGCACGGACAAAAACAAUGUGAGGGAACUUCAUAUUGCGUAUCGUUAUGGAGAGCACUACGACAGUGUUAGGAGAAUCAAUGACGAUUCUGAAGCUCCAGCGUAUCUUCAGAUGGAGAUGCUUUGCAAAAAUGAUUCAAAUGCGGAGAAAGUGAAGCCACAGAAGGGUGACUCUGAAGAUGAGAUUGAAGUUGAAAUGGAAGAUGCUGUACGAAAAGUGUGCAAUGCAACUGGAUGCUCAGACAUUGAUUUAGUAAGCCGGAUUCUGGAAGUGGAAGACUACAAUGUAGAAUCUGCAAUAUUUGCAGUUUUUCAAGUGAAUGAAGUGGGAAGAAUCAGUACUGAGGAGCAGUGCGAUCCCCAGAGCAAAGAUCAGAAACCGUGUAGCAGAACCCCACAGGAAGAAAACGGAACUGGUUCAAGAACCUUUGGAAAUCAGAGCUUGCAUCAAGAUGAAAUAGAAAACAACAAAGGACAGGCUGAAGAGAAUCGAGCUAGCAGAAACACAAAGGUGUCUAAAAAACAAAAGAAGGAACAGCAGCGGCUAGAGAAGAAGAAGCGGCAGGAAGAAAGGCACCGACAAAAGGUCUUGGCCAACAAAAGUAACUGUGCAGAUAGCAGCGGGAGAGAGACGGACUCAAACAACCAUGUCACCUUGGUGAAGGCCAUGGCAGCUCUAAACAUAUGACUGAAUGUGUUCUAAGUGCUCUGGUGAGAAAAGCAAAUAAAACUGAUGAAGACCAAAUUACCUUAAGUGAAUUUCCAAGCACCCAUUGUUGUCUUAAAAUCUGUUUCUGCGGAGAUCUCUAAGCACACAUGAGCUUCCUGUUUCUUCGGUUCUGGGGCGAACAAUUAUUCGGUAAUUCUGCAUCAACCUGUGUGCGAGAAGAGCUGUUUGAACUUAAAAAGUAGAGACUUGUUUGUAUAAUUUUGGAGUUAGAUGAAGAGGUGAUACGAGGACUGUUGUUGCUUCGAGCCUGGGGAGCUGUGAAGGGAGUCGUCCUGUAUCCAGCUGAGCUGCUCCUGUAGGUGUAAAGGGCCCUGCAAAGCCGAACCUCAUCCGUGGCCAGGAUAAAUGGACAGGCCUGCAACUCAGCUCAUCUUGAGCAGCAGAGAGAGACUGACCUUCAGCUCAUGGCCUCUGAUAUGUGGCUGAAAAUGUUUGCAUUUCCCACUGUAACACAACUAAAACAAACUCUUAACGUGCUGGGCUCCUAAGUAUUGUUAUACCAGUCAAAUUGUCGUUAUUUUUGCCAGGAUAGCUUUGUUACCUACAAAAGCAUUUUGUAUCCAAAGAUGUUAAAACUUUCAUUUUAUCUGUUGUAGAUUUUUCUUUUAGCUAUUGACAUUUCCACCUGCCUUUACCAUGUGUGUUUUUCCUAGGGAAACUCUCGGGGAACUCACUUUUAUGCAGAUAAUUUGCCUUGUAAACAGGUGGUGGAUUUUCCAGACGGGAGGAAGGGAGGCAAGAAACAAGAGACGAGAAAGACCAUGAUUCAUAACUGAUGUUUACUCUUUGGUGGAGCUAACUGUGCUUCAUAACAUGCGGUCAUAGGAACACAAGCGCUGCACGUUCCCUUGGUGUUUGAGGAGGAUUACUGUUUGUUACUAGCUGGAGGGUCACAAGUGGCAGAGGGCUAGGACUGCUGCUGGACCGUCAGCCUCUCCAAGGUGAGGGCAUGGCAAGACAAGUAGAAAGCUGCUUUCCCUGCGUCCUACCUACCACCAUCGUCUUCCCCGGCCUUAUUUUUUCCAAAUCCUGCCCCUGCAGGGUUCUGUCCCUAAGCAUGGCUUGGCCUUACAACAGGGAUUUUCUGCUUGUGCUACGCUGUUUCUGGUGUACCCUGUUCCUCCUUGUGUGUGUAACAACAGCUUCGCCUCAUCUGCAGUGCCUGAAGGACAGAAGUCACAUCAUCUGUGGUAUCCACAUCUGCGGUGCUUGUGGAUUCCUUCUCUUUUGGAGUCUGUUGAAACUACAGGAGAGUUUUCUUUCCCUUUCCCCCUCUGGACUCUCAGCAGGGCACCCGCUUCUGGUACCAAACCAAACCUCUGGUUUUGCAUUCUGAGUGCAUUAAAGGUGGCAAAGAUGUGCCAGCUGA